CGAAUCAGUCUGUACCUGUUUUUGCCCUUCGCCAUCACGCACGCACGGGUUCGUAUUUGUCUUUGAAUGUUCUAAAUCUCUCUCUGAAUUAUCCUUAAUGCCUGUGUGCUUUGCUCAAAUCUAUAUAUUUUUUUCCUCUCUCUCUCUCUCUGCUUCUCUUGCUUCCAUUCAAUUUUGUGUUUGUAACAUUCUGUGUAAUCCAGCAGUUGAAUUAUUCGAGCGUAAAGCACAAACCUUUUAACCAAUCCAAAAUUUUGAGAAAGCUUGAACCUUUAGUUUAUCGGCCGUCUCUGACCAUCUUUUGUUUCCUGAAACAAUUUCAAUUCCGGUUAAUCUUGUAGUUGGUUGCUGAAAGUCAUGUACUUGUAAUCUUCAUUGACGAAAAUUUUGAGAUAUCAAACUUGGUCAUCUAGUUUAUGUAAUUUCCUUUAUUAACUUGGUCAUAUCAAACUCACUUAUAUGUGACUAUGGGAUUGGGUUUGUUUCCCGUUCCUUAUGACUCUGUUAGACUCGGCUUCUUUCUCCUUCGACCCUUGAAAGCUUCUUACGUGAAUUUUCUAUAUGUUCACUCCAUUAUCACCACUCUUUAUCCUUCCAUUUUCUCAGCUCUUGUUUUGAAUGUGGAACAACGUUGCUGAUAUCUACAAUGAUGUCAACAUACAUAGCAGCAUCAAUGCCUACCAAGAUUUAGCAGUGUCAUUGGAUGAACUCAAAACGACAAGUUCCAUUGUCGUUUUGACUUUCUGGGUUUGUUUCCUUUAUUAAUGUUAAUGGAAAUUAUCUGUGUGUUUUUUUAGUAAUUUUCCUUUUAUAUUUUUCUCUCUAUAUAGAUAGAUAGAUAACCCAAAAAAUCGUGACUCCGAUAUAAUUUCGAAUCGAGACGACCAACGCCAUCAUUCUCUAGAUCUGUUCUCGACCUUAUCCAUGAUCAUGUUUGUAUCUAUUUGCUUUCACUUCUUCAUAUGAAAAGCUUGCACCUUUAAUUAUUUCAGCACC
rnacentral:sRNA from 1 species